GACGAACGCUGGCGGCGUGCCUAAUACAUGCAAGUAGAACGCUGAAGGAGGAGCUUGCUUCUCUGGAUGAGUUGCGAACGGGUGAGUAACGCGUAGGUAACCUACCUGGUAGCGGGGGAUAACUAUUGGAAACGAUAGCUAAUACCGCAUAAGAGUAGAUGUCGCAUGACAUUUGCUUAAAAGGUGCAAUUGCAUCACUACCAGAUGGACCUGCGUUGUAUUAGCUAGUUGGUGAGGUAACGGCUCACCAAGGCAACGAUACAUAGCCGACCUGAGAGGGUGAUCGGCCACACUGGGACUGAGACACGGCCCAGACUCCUACGGGAGGCAGCAGUAGGGAAUCUUCGGCAAUGGACGGAAGUCUGACCGAGCAACGCCGCGUGAGUGAAGAAGGUUUUCGGAUCGUAAAGCUCUGUUGUAAGAGAAGAACGAGUGUGAGAGUGGAAAGUUCACACUGUGACGGUAUCUUACCAGAAAGAGACGGCUAACUACGUG
rnacentral:rRNA from 1 species